rnacentral:rRNA from 1 species
UACGUAGGCAGCGAGGCGUUGUUCGGAAUUACUGGGCGUAAAGAGUGUGUAGGCGGUGCUCUAAGUUCGGUGUGAAAUCUCCUGGACUCAACUGGGAGGGUGCGCCGGAAACUGGAGUGCUUGAGCGUGGGAGAGGAAAGCGGAAUCCUGGUGUAGCGGUGAAAUGCGUAGAUAUCAGGAGGAACACCUGUGGUGUAGACGGCUUUCUGGACCAUAGCUGACGCUGAGACACGAAAGCGUGGGUAGCAAACAGG